UUUACUAAAACCAAAGUUUGGAGGUGUUUUGUUGUUACCAAAAUAAUUGAUUAAAAUAAAUCUAGUAAAG
rnacentral:tRNA from 1 species